rnacentral:rRNA from 1 species
AUUGAACGCUGGCGGCAUGCUUUACACAUGCAAGUCGAACGGCAGCGCGGGCUUCGGCCUGGCGGCGAGUGGCGAACGGGUGAGUAAUGCAUCGGAACGUGCCCAGUAGUGGGGGAUAGCCCGGCGAAAGCCGGAUUAAUACCGCAUCCGACCUGAGGGUGAAAGCGGGGGACCGAAAGGCCUCGCGCUAUUGGAGCGGCCGAUGUCGGAUUAGCUAGUUGGUGGGGUAAAGGCUUACCAAGGCGACGAUCCGUAGCUGGUCUGAGAGGACGACCAGCCACACUGGGACUGAGAGACGGCCCAGACUCCUACGGGAGGCAGCAGUGGGGAAUUUUGGACAAUGGGGGCAACCCUGAUCCAGCCAUGCCGCGUGCGGGAAGAAGGCCUUCGGGUUGUAAACCGCUUUUGUUCGGGAAGAAAUCCUCUGGGCUAAUACCCCGGGGGGAUGACGGUACCGGAAGAAUAAGCACCGGCUAACUACGUG